AUUGAACGCUGGCGGCAUGCCUUACACAUGCAAGUCGAACGGUAACGGGCCUUCGGGUGCCGACGAGUGGCGAACGGGUGAGUAAUACAUCGGAACGUGCCCGAUCGUGGGGGAUAACGAGGCGAAAGCUUUGCUAAUACCGCAUACGAUCUACGGAUGAAAGCAGGGGACCGCAAGGCCUUGCGCGGACGGAGCGGCCGAUGGCAGAUUAGGUAGUUGGUGGGAUAAAAGCUUACCAAGCCGACGAUCUGUAGCUGGUCUGAGAGGAUGAUCAGCCACACUGGGACUGAAACACGGCCCGGACUCCUACGGGAGGCAGCAGUGGGGAAUUUUGGACAAUGGGCGCAAGCCUGAUCCAGCCAUGCCGCGUGCAGGAUGAAGGCCUUCGGGUUGUAAACUGCUUUUGUACGGAACGAAAAGCCUUCUUUUAAUACAGGAGGGUCAUGACGGUACCGUAAGAAUAAGCACCGGCUAACUACGUG
rnacentral:rRNA from 1 species